rnacentral:lncRNA from 1 species
CAGCAUCCCUGGUGCCAGGGUGGGACAGAGGAUGCAGACAGUGAGAGGUAUUUGGGCCCUGAUGGGGGUUCCCUGCUGGGAUGGGACCCAAAGAGCCCCUUCAAGCUCUGAAGUGGGGUGGCACAGCCCUUAAAGAGAUGUUGCAUGUAGCCCUCUGCCUCCGAGGCUCGAGUUGGGUUUUUGUUGUGAGGACAACAGGAACUGGCUCGUUGUUCCUCUCCUUUUUGACACCUGUGUCAAAAUCUGUUAAAUUUAAAAUCUGUUGAUUUCACUUAAGCUGGACAUUAAGUGUUUAACUGUUGGGGGGGUGGGAUGGGGGGAACAAGAGAUCAUUGGGGUUUUGUUUACUUUUUGGCAAUGUCCAAAAGCAGCCACGAUGUUUCAGGGCGAGCAGGAGUCUGGAGCUGCCCCAGCUCCAUUUCUCUGUCUUGGCUUUCUCUGCAUUUAUUUCCUGAGGUCCUUUCUGGUUUGGAGCUGUUGGUUUUGUCCACGGGCCCAUGGCUUCCUGAUGUGGGUGCCAGAUCCUGAAAAGCCGAGUGUGAAUUCCUCCUCAUCCCCAGCGGGUGUUGAUGUACCCAGCAGCCAGUCCGUGCAAGGAGGGAUGCCAAGGUGGAAGCAGUGCUGAUGGUGGGGAUGGAGAUCCGGGAUUAACUCCUCCUGGAUGAGCAGAGCUGUUAGGAAGUCCUGAAAAAUAAAGGUUGAGGGUUGGAUUGGUGGGAAUUAGAGGACAACGGGUGGUGCUGAGCUCAAGGGGUGCAGCUGGGCAGCACUGGGGCUCAUUUGGAGAAGGAUAUGAGACCAUGGGCAAGGUGGGCAUGGUGGGGAUGGCUGGGAUGGCAUGAGUUACUGAGAGGUCUGGAGUGCUGGGAUGAGGCAGAAGAUCCCAUAGAGGCAUCACACCCGGCUUUCACACAGCCCCAUUUGGGAGCACCUUGUUCAAGAGAGUUUCUUUUUUUCCUCCUUGAUGAAUUUGUUCUCUUUCCUCCUUUUCCUUUGCUUUCAAGAGAAGGAAUCUGUACAGUGCAGGGGAAAUGUUGUAUGAGAAGAGAUUCAUCAGCUGUCGGCAGUGAUCAGGAUUCCAGGAAAACACAUAUAUGGUAUCAGACAAGGAAGGCCACACCUUGGACACAGGCAAUGAGGGAACUCUAG